GGCAUAUGGAAGUUCCCAGGCCAGGGGUUGAAUCCGAGCUGCAACUGCUGGCCUACACCAGAAGUGUGGCCUACACAGUCACAGCAACUCGGGAUCUGAGCCAUGGCUGUGACCUACACCCCAUAGCUCACAGCAAAGCCUGAUCCUUAACCCACUGGGUGAGGCCAGGGAUUGAACCCUUGCCAGGUCUUGAUGGAUACUAGUCGGGUUCGUUACUGCUGAGCCAUAACGGGAACUCCCAUAGGUUCUUGAAAAGGUUAUAGAAGCAAUACCACGCCUAACACUUAGGACUUCAGUUCCUGAAUUACUCAACUGAAUGUUGACUGAAUACUGAAUCAUUCAAUUUUUGAAUAAAUAUUCAAAGAGUAACUGGUACUACAGAGAUACCCUUUUAUAAAGCAAGUUGCUCAUGCAACUGGUUUGACUCUAGUCACUUGAAUCAUCUUCUUUUUCUACUAUAUAAUGAUUUUUAUUGUUUUCCACUAUAGCUGGUUUACAGUGUUUUGUCAAUUUUCUUUCAUUGUCCUCACUGCUCUGGUCUGCCUGAUUGAGGAAUUCAUCUCAAAGACUCCACGGGGCACUUUCUACCCAUGACUUCAUCAUGAUAAUAGGAAGUAGUAGUUAUUAAUCGAAACCUCAAAACAUGAAAUAAACUUUAUAUAGUUUACUACCCAUCAAACUUAAAGACAUAAGUUAUGUGUAUAUGUAAUUCAUAGGUAGGCAUAAGCAUAGCAUAGUCCCUAAUUCCAGUCCUUUCCAGAUUAAAAUUCAGGAAGGUGAGGGGAAUAUAAUUUGAUCUGGUGUUGACUUUCCUCUUCUUUUUUUAAAAAAUCUUUUUAAAGAAUUUCAUCUGGAGUUCCCGUCGUGGCGCAGUGGUUAACGAAUCCGACUAGGAACCAUGAGGUUGCGGGUUCGAUCCCUGCCCUUGCUCAGUGGGUUAAGGAUCCAGCGUUGUCGGGAGCUGUGGUGUAGGUCACAGAUAUGCGGCUGGGGUCUGGUGUUGCUGUGGCUGUGGUGUAGGCUGGCAGCUGCAGCUCCUAUUCCACCCCUAGCCUGGGAACUUCCAUAUGCCGCAGGUGCGGCCAUUAGAAAAAAAAAAGUUAAAAAAAAAAAAGAAAGAAAGAAAUUAGAAAUUACACAACUGAAAGACUCUACAGAACUCAUUAGCCUUAACGUUAAAAGAGGUUUGAAAAUGGGACAAAGAAAUAAACGCCAUCAAUUAGUA
rnacentral:lncRNA from 1 species